rnacentral:lncRNA from 1 species
AGGAUUUGGUUUAGGAUUUAGGAUUUGAUUAUGAGUUGGGUGAGGAUUUAGGAUUUUUUUAGGAUUUAGUUAGGAUUUGAUUUAAGAUUUAGUUUAAGAUUUAGAAUUUGAUUAUGAUUUCAUUUAAGAUUUAGAAUUUAAUUAGGAUUUGAUUUAUGAUUUAGGAUUUAAAGUUUGGCUAGGAUUUUAUGAGAGUUGGUUUUAGGAUUUAGAAUUUGUCUAAGAUUUGAUUUAGAAUUUAAGAUUUGUCUAAGAUUUGAUUUAAAUUUAAGGUUUGUCUUGGGUUUGAUUUAGGAUUUAGGAUUUAUCUAGGAUUUGAUUUAGGAUUUAAGGUUUGUCUAAGAUUUGGUUUAGGAUUUAGGAUUUGUCUAAGUUUUGAUUGAAGUCUAUUAGGAUUUUAAUUAGAAUUAAAUUAGAAUUUGAUUGAGAUUUUUUUAAAAUACAUUGUGAUUAUUUUAAUAUUUUUUAGGACUUCUUAAAGAUUCUUUUAAGGUUUAUUGUGGAUUAUCUUUUA